GGGAGUAGCUCAGUGGUAAAGCACCUGCCUAGCAAGCAUGAGGCCCUGAGUUCAAUCCCCAUCACCACA
rnacentral:tRNA from 1 species